CUCUCCCUUUCUUCUUUUCCUCUUUCCUCCUUUCUCUCCUUUUCCCUUUUCUCCGCCGCUCAUCCCUCAUUCUCGUCCCCUCCUUUCCCUCCUUUUCCCUUUCUCCGCCGCUCCCUUUCCGCGCUUCCUCACCCCCACACACGCUCCCCUCGCUCCUCUCUUUUUCGUCAAUACAAAUCAAACCCUAUAAAUAUAACUCGAAUGGAACCAUCUUUAGGGGGGAUGGCUGGACAAAACGAAAAAGAAGCCAAUAAACUUAGACAAAUCAUCAAGAAAACAGAUUGAAAAAGGGGGGGAUUUUUUGUUGAGCAAGAGAGCUAAGAAAACGGAGACAAAGGAUUUGGAACCAAAAAUUCCCUACAAAACACACAAGUUUUAAUCAACGAAAACAACCAACAAUUACUCUACUUUUACCUUUUCGGUUUGAAACUCUAACUACUUUAAUCGGGUUCGUUCGUGUUCGAGUGUAGAUUCGAGACUUGACGUCCCCACUUCACUGUACCACAAAAAGUUGAUAAAUGAAGUCAUGCUCGUACCCGUCGAAAGGAUCGCAACCUGUGUAUGUCCUGCAUAGUUUAUGGUUCUGUCGGAAUAUCUCAUGGUAUAUUAGAUACUGUAUUCGAAAUGAUGCAUUAUGCCAAUUGGGACUAGAAUUGGUGUCACUGGGCUGAAUAUCUGUCCUUCUUGAAAUGGAAGGAACAAUCAUUUUUCUUCAUUUUUAGUCUUGUCCCACGCGUGAAGUUUAUUAUUUGACAAUUGUUCUUGACUUUAAAAUAAAUCAGAAGACUGCUGUAUUCAUUGAAUCUCUUUGUUUACUGUUUGUUUGGAAGCUGUCAAUACGUUAAACAUGAGCAGUCCCUUGUUUCGAGUAAAAUUAUUAAGACAUAUAAUUUAGAAAGUUUGCCCUCUAGCUGUGUUCACAUUUAGCUUGUUGGGAAUCUUCAGUUCUACUUGCUGUUCUGUUUAAAGAAAGAUUGAUAAUUUAGCAUGCUUCUUAAAUUUCUUCCUGGGAAUUAUGGGUUGAUUAAUUUUAAGAAGGUUGGCUUCUUCUUUGCAAUAUGAUUUGGGUGUGUUAAGCUCCAUGUCAACAUCUGGCCGAAGCUGAAAUCUGUUUCAUUCCAUUGAUAUGAUUAUGGAAAAUUGCGUGAAUGUUGUGGUGAUUCUGUGUUUAUUUGAAUUUCCUCAUGUUUAUACAUCGUGAGCAUACCAUGCCUGGAAUAUACCAUCUGCUAAUUUGUUUUGUUUUUGAGUUCAUAUUCCAUAUGUUUUAACAUUAUCCAUUGAUCGUAUACUAAUCCUUUUUCUUUUUAUUUUCUAUGCAUGACAUGUCGCAUACGAGUCCGAGCGACUUGUCAUCUCCUCCUGCAUUUGGCUUCGGGCAAAGCCCAACAAAAUCUUCUCGAGUCAGCCCACCCGCAGCGAAAAAAUAAAAUUCUGGGCCGAGGCCCAUAGCAGUGGCAGCGAACAGCAACAGCCCAAAAUGGGCUGAGCCCAUUUAAAUCAUUUUACUCCCCUAUUUUAUUUUAUUUUGUGCAUUUAAUUGGUAAUUGUAUGACUGAUACUUUUACUUGUUUAUUUGCUUAGAUUAAGUAAACCUUAGCGAAAUUAGUGGGGUUUGGGUUUUAAUAAUGAGUAGUUAAUUUAAGGAAAA